rnacentral:rRNA from 1 species
GAUGAACGCUGGCGGCGUGCUUAACACAUGCAAGUCGAACGGUGAACGAGGGAGCUUGCUCCCUCCGGAUCAGUGGCGAACGGGUGAGUAACACGUGAGCAAUCUGCCCUGGACUCUGGGAUAAGCGUUGGAAACGACGUCUAAUACCGGAUACGAGGCGUGGGGGCAUCCCCAACGCCUGGAAAGAACUUCGGUCCAGGAUGAGCUCGCGGCCGGUCAGCUAGUUGGCGAGGUAACGGCGCACCAAGGCGACGACGGGUAGCCGGCAUGAGAGGGUGACCGGACACACUGGGACUGAGACACGGCCCAGACUCCUACGGGAGGCAGCAGUGGGGAAUCUUGGACAAUGGGCGCAAGCCUGAUCCAGCCAUGCCGCGUGAGUGAAGAAGGUCUUCGGAUUGUAAAGCUCUUUUGCCAGGGACGAUAAUGACGGUACCUGGAGAAUAAGCCCCGGCAAACUUCGUGCCAGCCGCCGCUGUAACAC